AUUGAACGCUGGCGGCAUGCCUUACACAUGCAAGUCGAACGGCAGCACGGGUGCUUGCACCUGGUGGCGAGUGGCGAACGGGUGAGUAAUACAUCGGAACAUGUCCUGUAGUGGGGGAUAGCCCGGCGAAAGCCGGAUUAAUACCGCAUACGAUCUACGUAUGAAAGCGGGGGACCUUCGGGCCUCGCGCUAUAGGGUUGGCCGAUGGCUGAUUAGCUAGUUGGUGGGGUAAAGGCCUACCAAGGCGACGAUCAGUAGCUGGUCUGAGAGGACGACCAGCCACACUGGAACUGAGACACGGCCCAGACUCCUACGGGAGGCAGCAGUGGGGAAUUUUGGACAAUGGGCGAAAGCCUGAUCCAGCAAUGCCGCGUGUGUGAAGAAGGCCUUCGGGUUGUAAAGCACUUUUGUCCGGAAAGAAAUCCUUGGCCCUAAUACGGUCGGGGGAUGACGGUACCGGAAGAAUAAGCACCGGCUAACUACGUG
rnacentral:rRNA from 1 species